ACGGGUGAGUAACAUAUCGGAACGUGCCCUAGAGUGGGGGAUAACUAGUCGAAAGAUUAGCUAAUACCGCAUACGAUCUACGGAUGAAAGUGGGGGAUCGCAAGACCUCAUGCUCAUGGAGCGGCCGAUAUCUGAUUAGCUAGUUGGUGGGGUAAAAGCUCACCAAGGCGACGAUCAGUAGCUGGUCUGAGAGGACGACCAGCCACACUGGAACUGAGACACGGUCCAGACUCCUACGGGAGGCAGCAGUGGGGAAUUUUGGACAAUGGGCGCAAGCCUGAUCCAGCAAUGCCGCGUGAGUGAAGAAGGCCUUCGGGUUGUAAAGCUCUUUUGUCAGGGAAGAAACGGUCUUGGUUAAUACCUGGGGCUAAUGACGGUACCUGAAGAAUAAGCACCGGCUAACUACGUGCCAGCAGCCGCGGUAAUACGUAGGGUGCAAGCGUUAAUCGGAAUUACUGGGCGUAAAGCGUGCGCAGGCGGUUGUGCAAGACAGAUGUGAAAUCCCCGGGCUCAACCUGGGAAUUGCAUUUGUGACUGCACGGCUAGAGUGUGUCAGAGGGGGGUAGAAUUCCACGUGUAGC
rnacentral:rRNA from 1 species